CUCUCAGGUGUAGGCGGGAGGGCACAGGCCCCAUCCUGAAGAGACUGUACUCUUUUGUUCCAGCUGGCUGGCCACCCAGGAGGGCCAGCCAGCAUCUCAUUGGCUCAGAGAAGGCAGAAAUCUGCCUGUUUAAAAUCUGAGCUGAUGCUGUACAGUCCAUUAAAACUGGGUUGUGGACCAGAUAUGAAUGAAGGUCUCUGAUUCAGGUGUCUGGCCCAUUCCAUCCUGCGGCAGUAAUUAGG